GAUCUUGUUGAUCGGAAUCUUGGGCGUCGGAAUACGCUCUACACCGUUUGAAGCAUGGAGAGUACACCACGCCUGAAUCAGCCGCCGGAGAGUGUGGUUGGGAGUCAGAUCGGAGUCCGCCGACAGAACCUGUUUCGUCGCAGGACAGGUGUUAUUUUUGCCGGAAAACAACCACUUCUCGAUGCUCUCCCGAUCGUACGUUAUACCCGUUGACACCGUCACCGGAUCUUUCAUAAUCUCCAAAGAAAUCGGGCAGAGGAAAAAUGGAGGAACAUCGAUUUCUUCCAUCACCCAGAAGAUGAGCUGAAUCAAGAAUCAAGUUUAAAAGAAAUCUUGAGAAAUAUCAGAGGGUAGAAUUUGAAUUUGAACUUGAAGCUGUUGAGGAUAGUUGAGAUGUUUGAAGAUGGGAGGGAUCUGGGAUGAGAGCUUUAUAAAUAGGAGUGAGAGGUUCAAAACAUGAGAAAGUCAAAACACGGAAAAUAGGAACGUUGAGAAAGUGUGUAUGAUGAGAUAGAAGACUUUUCCAAGGGCUAGGAAAGGCUCAGGAAUCACAAACUUUACCAAGUCUAUCUCAUUAUAUCUGCACGUGCCCACUCCUUUGACUUUCUCUCUCUAACUCAACUCCAUUGGAUGCCGACAAGUUGUGUUGGGGAGGACGUGUGCGCUUCUUCGAUCACUCCCUCCCCAUAGCUGUGGCCAGCUCCGUUGACUAGCCGUUGGUACAGGGAACUUACUGUGCUCCUCAUCAAUAUCAGGCUUCUGAUUGCUCCUUUCUGGGUUAAAGUCAACUUAAAUCAUUUUUGACAUUAUCAAUGAAAGGUGGUGGGUUAUUAGGGUGGUUUGCUUCUGGAAUUUUCUGCAUUAACGGUCAAAUUUAGUGCUGGUUGGAUUUGAAUUUUGAGUUCAUUUUGAUUUCUUGGCUUAAUGGUUGUGCCUUUUUAGUGCUUUAGGGAGGUAGCCUUCCUUCAAUAUUGAGUUCGUACAUGCCAACUUGGAAGGUGGUUAAUGGAAAAUUAAAUUUUUUUUUAAGUAAUUACCAUAAGACAUUGUCCAAGACACUUCAUAAUCCAUAUAAGAAAAAUUAGUUUCAGAGCCCAAACGUAAGAUCACAUGAUAUCUUGAAUUCAAUUUGAUUUGAAUUUUAUAUGUUUCUUGAAUAGGAAUAACAACAGGUGAGUUUGAGACUAUUCACCUCCAUCUCAAUUAUAUCCCAUUUAUUUAAAAUAAUUUUCAUUCUUGUCUUAUUUAAAACAUUAAAUUAGACGGGAUGGGUAUGAAAAAUUCUCAUAUCCGUCCCACCUCGUCCUAUUUAACCUUUUUUUGAAAUUUUAAAAUUUUUUUAAAUCAUUUUUAAAUUUUUUAAUUACAUUAAAAUGAAUAUAUUUUAUAAAUAAAUAAAUUAUUAUAAUUUUUUAACUUAUUUUAUUAAAAAGUAUUUUAUUAUUAUCUAUAUAUUAAAAAUAAAAAAAAUUAAAUUAAUUUUAAAAAUUAAUUUUAUAUAUAAUUUUGACAAGACAACACCCAAACCUCUCUUGAACUCAUCUCGGAUUAAAAAGAAUCUCAAACUCAUCCUAUUAGAGACAGGACAAGAUGGGACGUAUAAGAUGGGUACUUGAAAAAACUCGUUACAUUAUUGUCCUUAUCCUUGAAAUGGUUUUCUUUGUUAUAUUUUAUGCUUAGUUUUAUCCUAAAAGGCUUUCAAAACGAAAUUUACACUAUCUUAAGUUUUAUCCUAAAAUGUUUUUAAAAUAAAAAUGAUAGGCAUCUUGCCCUUAAAAAAAGAAGAAUAAUUUAAAAUAAAUGAAUAAAUAUAUGCAUAAAGGACGAAUCUAUUGAUUUUAAGACAUAUUAAGUUAUAUUAAUUUCAAUGCGGGAUAGAGCCAAACUUAGUGAAUGGGAUUUGGAUGACGAUGAUGUGAAGUGUGUUGAUAAAUAUUGGGCUUGAACACGUGCUAGAAGAAACCCACUGCUAAGUAGCACCACUAGUAGUAGAAGAAGACUGCCCGCCGGCGGAGGCUGCAGGAAGAACCGGAGAGGCAAGUCGUUCAGGAUAUUGACCGAUCGCCUUGCCUCCAAGGGUUUGGCCAGUGAUCCUGACCCUGACCCUCGUGGAAGUGCCUUGGCUGACUCCGCCACUACCUCUUCUGGGCUACACGAUGCUUCCGCUUCCAAUAUUGAUCUUGCUCUUGUUUAUGCCAACUUCCUAAACCAGAAGCCGGAGCCAAAGUCAACAGGGUUUGAAAUGCCAGAAUUGCCUUGUGAAUUCCAUCCAUCUUUCCAGCUUUCAUCAACUCUUUCAACGUCGAACACCAGCCUGGAUUCAUCACAUAUUCAAUUACCGCCGGACACUCAUUUGAGUGAGGAUAACCAGGUCUAUCUUAGUGGCUUCCACCCUAUUCACACCCAUCAUGACCAUGACUCUGCCAAUAUUUAUGGGCUGCCACCACUGCCAGGCCAAGAGGUUGCUCCUCUGGAGAUGUUGUGGCCCAUUUCUCAAGCCAUGGUUCAGAAUCAGACCUUGCACGAGACACAAUUGCCAGCUCUGCACCCAGAAGCUGCUCAACAUCCAAAUCAUGUAGCUGUCACUGCUGGUAACUGGAGCCCAUUUGAUUUGUCAUGCUACGAAACCUUCUCUCGGCCUUGAGAGAUUCCAUUUUGCUUAUUGUUUUCUUGUUUUACUUGCUAUAUAAUCUUGUAUACAAUGGAAAGCUUAUAAUGAAAUAAUUUUCAGGUGUCAACAAAUAUAUGCUUUAUAGUUAAAUUCACAAUGAUAAAUACUUCCUAAAAGAACAGCCAUGACGUUUAACUUCUGGAGAGACUAGAUGUACCCAACAGUGCCAUAUUGGGAUUUCGUUUACAGAUCAUAUGAUGUGCUUCGUAAUGGAUCAAAGAGCCUCACUACAUGAGAAAUAAUAAUAAUAAUAGUAAUAAUAUAUAUGGUUUUGGCGGGACAAGUUUGUGAAAAUAAGGUUGAACUGCUCAGGCAAUGGAGAUUGAAAAAAGAGUGUUUGAGCUAAUUGAUGAUCUAAUCUCCUUAGUCCUGUACAACCUGAGCGAUACAGAAUAUCAAUUUCAUGUUGGGAUAAUCCUAAUUAUAUAUUAAGCAAUAUAUGCUGAUUGUCUGUUGCUAAUUUUACUAGUGGAUUAGGGUUGAGGAUUUGAGACCAAAUACAAAUAGAGCUGCCACCAUCAAGUGUGGAACUGGUUGAAGAAUAAUGUGCGGGAGUGCUGUUUCUGUUCAGCUACUAAUUACUCAAAAGAAUAAGCAAUGGGGAAAUAAGCCCAUAAUGUACAUCAAGUUAACAGCCAUUCCUCUGGGACAAUUUCCUUGGAAAGCUCUCGCCUUCGGGAUUUGAUCCUCAAGCCCACUUUCGUUGAGUCUUGAGGCCAGUACAGAACAAGCAGACCUUCUCUUCCUGAGUUUCAAAGAUUGUGCCUUGAAGGACUGAAGUUCAAAUCCCAGUUCUCGAUGAGCAAAUCAUUGAUCCUAACUAAUUAAGUGAAUUAAAUUAAUCUCCUUCAUCAAAGAAGAUUGUUUCCUUGGUUAAGAAACAUUUUGCAGACCAGUGGAUAUGUAGAUUAAGACAUUACUGAAAUCAAAGAAACAUGAGAAGCAGAUUUUAAUACUUUUAUCAGAUAGUUUCCGUAACUGUAGUUCGAGGCUCUCCUGUUUCCCUAUUGACAUAGAAUUAACUUUCUGAUUGUAGAGCUAAAGAUGCCAAUAAACUAUCUGGUCCAUCUUCUCAGAAGUGUCAAAUGGAACGAAAUUAAGAAUUGCAUGCAGUGGUUUUGGUUUGUUAUGAACCAUAUAGAUGGAGCAGCUAGCAUAUAUAAAAUGCUGAGUGGGGCGACAUUUCUGGGCAUGUGGAUUAGCAAAUUUGGCUUAGAAAAUUGAAAGACUUGUUAUGAGUCAUCACCAACAUAAAACUCAGGGCAUCACACAUGAUCCCAGACAGACCCAUGAUCCAAGAAUUAAAUUGUCUUCUCAUAAACAUAUCAGUGCUGACAAACUUCUAGGGCAAAGGAACUAUUAAGUCUGAUAGAAUCGGAUAAUUAAUUGAAGCUUAAUGAUCAGUAUAAAUUAUUAUCAAGAUAAGCUUCAUGAAUAUAUUAGUUUAAUACUUGGGGGAUUUUUACGCACUAUUUUUAUACUAGUAGUACGUGUAUCCUUGUGCGCGCCAUGAAAGAGAAGCCAUUGGCAUUGGAAGAGAUGCCAUCGCCUUUCUCAUAAGAGAAGAAUGACCAUGAUCAGACAAAGAGCUUCACUAGUGAUUUGCAGUUUGGCCUUAGCAUGUUUUAGUGUAGGCAAAUCAGGAGCCUCAGCAUGGUAUCUAGAGGGCACCCCCAGUUUGACCAGCUGCCUAUAUAUGUUGUUUGAAUUUUAUCUUUCAAAGAUUCAAUUUUUUUUCUUUUGUUUUCUUCAGUUCUGUAUUUUCGCUUCACUAUGAUAAUCAAAAAGUGAAAUUUUGUGACCAACUGCAAAGGCAUCUCAAAAUCCAGGUUACUGAAAAGAGACCAAAUCUAUAUGUGUAGCGUUAUAAUAAACAAUAAGCAGACUCAAUCCUCCUAGAAAGUAGUAGUUAAAGGAGGGAACCAGUAAAGUUUAUUAGUUCAACACAGGACCGAUUUCAUUUAAGAUCAAGACAAAUAAAUUAAUUAAUUGUGGACUUAGCUCCAGAACUUUGAAUUAGUCCAAUAAUUAAGCACAUACCAUUUCUUAUUCAAAUUUGGUGGCACGUACGUCUAAGUGGCCCGCGCCGCCCCACCCCCCACCCCACCUCGAAGUGGUUGCGAUUGAGUUGACCACUGCUAACUUGCUGAUAAAUUUUUAGAAUCACUGGUAUUUCUAUGUACAACAAGGGAUGUAUAUAUGGAUCUAAUCCACCAAUUGCUUACCUGGAAAUUAAUGUGGUUUAUAGCUACCAAGCUCACCUCAUUUCUCCAUUAAAUUAAAUUAAGGAUAAUAUUAAGAAGAUAUUUGAUAUAGUUUUAUACUUAAGUUGAUUCUAAGAUAAACCAUUGAUUUAAAACUUAUCAUUUGAUAAGUUUUAUAAAAUUUAUUUUAAAUCAUCAAAUUAACAUAUUUAACUUCAUGAGUUAAAACUAAUAUUUACCUAAUUAAUUUUAAACGAUAGUUACUUUAAUCAAUUUUAAUUAAUAAAUUUAUUCGUUAAACAUUUACAUUUAAAGUAUUAUAGAUAUAUAAAAUAAUUAACCAUAAAAUAAUUAUAAUAAAAAAGAAGUCAUGGAUAUGGAAUUAUGGUUAUAAAAUAUGCUCUUAUUAGUAGAAGUGGGUAAAUGAUGUUUAAAAAAAAAUGUUAAGAAGAAGUUAACUAUUUUAACAUAAUAUUUAAAAUUAUUUUUAAUUUUUAAUUAUGAUAUUAAAUUAUUUUAUCAGACAUAUUUAAUCUAUUUAAUGAUUUAAAUUAAGUUAUCGAGUCAUUAAAUAAAUUUACCAAACAUCAUUUAAACCAAAUAGUGCUUUUUUUUUUCUCUAAGUUCAAUUAUUGGUGGAUGACAUCUUCACUUUUUUUACUUUUAUUUUGUAAAUGAAUAUACGGAUGUAACAAAUUUCAUAACAACUCGCUAGAAAAUGCUUAAAAUGUAAAACAACUGGAACAAUUUUCUCUCUUCCAUGUAGAUAUUAUCCAUUAUGGGUCUAAUAGAUCUUCAUCAACUUUAAAAUACGUCUACUUGGUUAAGCUUCGUCCCAUAUAAAUGUUAUUCCCUGUGAGCCCCGUUAGCUUUCAUGGGUUUCAAAUACAUUUAAGAUAAACUCAUACAUGGAUAGUGUUAUAAACUUUCUCUAUUUGAUGUGAGAUAUCGCAUUACCCCUCAUGCAAACGAAGGAGAUAAACAUCCCUUUUUAGGCCAAACAAAAUCUCAUACCAUGGUAAGAAUUGGUUUUAAUAUCAUUUGGAAUCACUCAUUCCUUCAAUGACGCUCAUGACAUUGGAACGUGUCUACUUUAUUAACAAAAAUUCAUAUAUACAAUAUGGUGAUCAUGAACAUUUUUCCCCAAUCGACAUGAAAUGUCAAAGUUACUAUAAAUUAAGAAAGCUAUAAUUUAUCUAUAUAAGGGAAUUAGGUGCCAUAUAUCAAGCUACGAGCCUUACUGCAACAGAAGUCUAGCUCCCCACUUUGUUAGACCAACUCCAGUCCAUUUAUUUUCAAUUUUUCACUUUCUCCGACAGAAAGGUGCAAGCUGUGUGCCCUUCCACACAUCAGAGACAAAGUUCUAGAUACAUGCCUACAAUCCCGAUCACUGCAAUGCUCAAUAAGAGUGGUUUCAGGGUUGCAGCGACUGAGCCAAUAAUUCUGACCAGGUCCGACUAGCUAGAACCAAUGGUGGAGGUGAGAGGUAAGCACGGCAAGAUGAACAUAAAAAAUGGAUGGUCUCUAUUUAUUUUAUUUGUUGCAACCCCAAUUAAAGAAAAACAUCUUAAGUCAAUCCCCUAAACAAACCUUCCAAUUUAGGCCAUUAGUAAUUCAGCAGUGACGUGAAAGCAUAAUGGCACUGGUUUUGUGAUCUCAUAUUAGGUACAAUUACCAAAAGCGAGAAGAAUGAUAACUAUUGGUUGCUUGUAUGUGCUUGCUUUCAUGCUUAUUUUAUCUAGUCAUUGGAAGCCAUUGAUCCUUUUAAAUCCCACCUUCGAUACUUGAAGAUAUAUAUAUAUAUAUAUAUAUAUAUAUAUAUAUAUAUAUAUAGAGAGAGAGAGAGAGAGAGAGAGAGAGAGAGAGAGAGUAAGCUAGCUGUCCACAGAAUACCCUUCUAUCUCCCCUUUCUUAACGUCAUGUUAAAAAUUAGAUCUAGAAUCCCCGGUUGACCCGCAGUGCUGAUCAUCAAAUUUGAUCUAAAAAUUAUUGCUGUGAAAAUUCAAAGGAGCAAACUUGUACAUAUUGGACUUGAAAAUUUGAGGAUGUGUUCCAAAUGCCAGCUUCUGCAUGAUGAUGUGCUGCACACUUCAAGACAAAGCCUAAAAAUUAAUUAAAAUCCAAAGUUUUCUUCACCUGGUAAACCACCUCAGUGACAUAUUCUUUUGGGAAGGUUCAUCUCUGUCUUGACAUUUUCAACUAUUGUAAGAAUUGAUUCGUUGAAGGAGACCAAGAACAACCAACUACAAGAGGAUCUCUGAAAUGUUGUGUGGAACAUAAAUUUUCUGAAAAUAGCAAUCUAUGUGCCAUAAAAUGUUUCAGUGGGCACUGCUUAAUGCCCAUGUAGAGAGUCUAUUCUAAGGUAUUCAUCCAAUCAAUUAAUUAUGUACACAAAAGGGGGAAAAUAAGAAAGAAUGAAUUUGCACGUUCUCUCGGUGGGCCUAUGGAUAUGAAGAAAGCAAAUUGGUGGGUAUGCAUGGAGAGUUCUUCCAUGCCCUGGCAUGCAAUCUGAGGAUAUCUCUGGUUUUCUCCUUGGUCCUGCUCCCACAAUCCACUUGAAGCACCAAACACAAUUUCGCCACCACACCCAGCUGCGACAUCUCUUGAAGAACACUUGGAGUUGCAGAGAACUUGGAAAUGGAAUACAGAAUUCUCACUGCCCGUUCACUUGCCACGUGAGAAACCCUCAGUAUCUUCUUUGACACUAUAGCCAUCCCGGCUGCAUGCUUCAACAGUUCGGCUCUUCCUUCCGCGCACCCGCAUAGCUGAUCCAACACCGUUAGGAUCAUCUCACAAGCCCUUUUUUCUGAAGAAGCGAGAAGAAGCUCUGUCAAUAUCGAAACUGCGCCGGCUUCCACUGCUUUGACCUUGUUUCUCCCCCAUGGACAAACCUCAAUUAGUAGUUUGAGUGUAGCUUUUGUGGCCUGGUGAGAUAUAUGAUCCUGCAAAACUUGCACUGCUUCCACGAAGAAUUCGGGUUUCAAGGCGAUUAAUUGUAUUGGAUCAGCAACUUGGAGCAUCGAACUCAAUAGCAUUACAGCAUAAGCUCGAGACUCGUAGUUUCCUCGUUGUAGUACUCGUACCAAGCAACCCACAAAUUCACCAUUUUUUCCCACAAGCUUCUUGAGCCCGGCUUCUGACAGUAGGAGAUAAUGGAGAAUACUUAGAGCUUCACUGCUCGCGCUCCUGGACUCUAGCCCUUUAUCUGAUUCCUCUUCGAAUGUUGUGAAGUUGGCUUUGCUCACUAUUGAAGCUAAGAAUUCAACUGCACCGGCGGACUCAAUGCACCGCUUGUUGGCGUCGCUCUCAGUCGCAAGGGCUCGAAGUUUUCCGAUACAUUUCAUCUGCAACUGUGGAGACUUAGCAUCAUUGAGAAGCUUCACGAUCUGGAUCUUGUUGAUCGGAAUCUUGGGCGUCGGAAUACGCUCUACACCGUUUGAAGCAUUGAGAGUGCACCACGCCUGAAUCAGCCGCCGGAGAGUGUGGUUGGGAGUCAGAUCGGAGUCCGCCGACAGAACCUGCUUCGUCGCCGGACAGGUGUUAUUUUUGCCCGAAAACAACCACUUCUCGAUGCUCUCCCGAUCGUACGUUAUACCCGUUGACACCGUCACCGGAUCUUUCAUAAUCUCCAAAGAAAUCGGGCAGAGGAAAAAUGGAGGAACAUCGAUUUCUUCCAUCACCCAGAAAAGGAGCUGAAUCAAGAAUCAAGUUUAAAAGAAAUCUUGAGAAAUAUCAGAGGGUAGAAUUUGAAUUUGAACUUGAAGCUGUUGAGGAUAGUUG
rnacentral:lncRNA from 1 species